rnacentral:rRNA from 1 species
UACGUAGGGGGCAAGCGUUGUCCGGAAUCAUUGGGCGUAAAGCGCGCGUAGGCGGCCCGGUAAGUCCGCUGUAAAAGUCCAGGGCUCAACCCUGGAAAGCCGGUGGAUACUGUCGGGCUAGAGUCCGGAAGAGGCGAGUGGAAUUCCCAGUGUAGCGGUGAAAUGCGUAGAUAUUGGGAGGAACACCAGUGGCGAAGGCGGCUCACUGGACCGGUUCUGACGCUGAGGCGCGAAAGCGUGGGGAGCAAACGGG